UACAGAGGGUGCAAGCGUUGUUCGGAAUUACUGGGCGUAAAGCGUGCGCAGGCGGUUGUGCAAGACCGAUGUGAAAUCCCCGGGCUCAACCUGGGAAUGGCAUUGGUGACUGCACGGCUAGAGUGUGUCAGAGGGGGGUAGAAUUCCACGUGUAGCAGUGAAAUGCGUAGAUAUCUGGAGGAACACCGGUGGCGAAGGCGGCAUCCUGGACCGAUACUGACGCUGAGGAGCGAAAGCCAGGGGAGCAAACGGG
rnacentral:rRNA from 1 species